AGCCAUGAUGGAGCGCGGCAUACGGCUCAGUAACAUGUGGUUAACCUACCCUCAGGAGGGGGACACCCUCGGGAAACUGAGGCUGAUCCCACAUAGAUGAUGGAUCCUGGAAUGGUUCUUCAUCCAAACGGUAUGCGGCUCAUGCGUCGCGUGCCGCCUGAGGAUGGGACCGCACCCUAUCAGGUAGUUGGUGGGGUAACGGCCCACCAAGCCUAUUACGGGUACGGGCCCUGAGAGGGGGAGCCCGGAGAUGGGCACUGAGACAAGGGCCCAGGCCCUACGGGGCGCAGCAGGCGCGAAACCUCUGCAAUGCGCGAAAGCGCGACAGGGCAACCCCGAGUGCUAGGUGCUGAAUCUAGCUUUUCCUUAGUGUAGUGAGCUAGGGGAAUAAGCGGGGGGCAAGCCUGGUGUCAGCCGCCGCGGUAAUACCAGCUCCGCGAGUGGUCGGGACGAUUAUUGGGCCUAAAGCGUUCGUAGCCGGUCUAUCAAGUCUCUGGUUAAAUUUCAAGGCUUAACCUUGAGCGUGCUGGAGAUACUGUUAGACUAGGGGGCGGGAGAGGUUGAGGGUACUUCACGGGUAGGGGCGAAAUCCUAUAAUCCGUGAAGGACCACCAGUGGCGAAAGCGCUCAACUGGAACGCGCCCGACAGUGAGGGACGAAAGCCAGGGGAGCAAAGGGAUUAGAUACCCCCCGUAGUCCUGGC
rnacentral:rRNA from 1 species